rfam:Clostridium sp. CAG:575 genomic scaffold, scf19
AAAUAAAUAUAAUAUAAGCCAAAGACAGUAGGCAAAAUUAAAUCUUAAGUCCUACCGAGGUUAUAGAAUAAAGUGAUAAGCACUUUUUAUAACCGCGGAUAUGGAUAUAAAAAGUGUUUUUAAAUUUUUAA